AAAUCUGGCCCCCUAAUCGGGGCCCGAGUUGUAAUUUGUAGAGGGCGCUUUGGUGUUGGCUGCGGCCCAAGUUCCUUGGAACAGGACAUCGCGGAGGGUGAGAAUCCCGUACGUGGCCGCGUGCCUUCGCCGUGUAAAGCCCCUUCGACGAGUCGAGUUGUUUGGGAAUGCAGCUCUAAUUGGGAGGUAAAUUUCUUCUAAAGCUAAAUACUGGCCAGAGACCGAUAGCGCACAAGUAGAGUGAUCGAAAGAUGAAAAGCACUUUGGAAAGAGAGUCAAAAAGCACGUGAAAUUGUUGAAAGGGAAGCGCUUGCAGCCAGACAUGCCCGUGGCUGCUCAUCCAGACCCCCCAAGGUCUGGUGCACUCUCCCACGGGCAGGCCAGCAUCGGUUUGAGCGGUUGGAUAAAGGCUCUGGGAAUGUAGCUCCCCUUUGGGGAGUGUUAUAGCCCGUUGCGGAAUGCAGCCAGCUCGGACCGAGGCCCGCGCGCAUGCUAGGAUGCUGGCGUAAUGGCUGUAAGCGGCCCGUCUUGAAACACGGACCAAGGAGUCUAACAUCUAUGCGAGUGUUUGGGUGUCAAGCCCGGGCGCGCAAUGAAAGUGAAUGGAGGUGGAAACCCCUUUGAGGGCGCACCAUCGACCGAUCCUGAUGUCUUCGGAUGGAUUUGAG
rnacentral:rRNA from 1 species